UGCAAUUCUAUCCAACGUCACAAGUGUUUCUUAAACAGCAGUGAGUGUCGCGACUGUUAGACAAUAGACUGUGGUUUCUAUCCUCCCUUCCCCUGUAACGUUGUAUUGCUUAAAAAAGGAGGCCCAUACGUGUCCCCAGAAAUAGUGUAUUUUUAGAAGUAGACAGUUGUGUUCUUGAAUUUCAUUUAUAAUUUUCUCUCGUGACAGAAAUCUUUUACCCUGGUAAUCCAGAUGCUCACAAUAUUCAGAGUGUAGAUUUUUCGCCAGUCUGUUAAUAUCUACUACAUUGCAUUUUGCUGAUCAUCUUAGAGACCAGACAAAGCUCUGUAAGUUUUGUCCUUUCAUCUGCAGCCAGCCUGUGUAUGUUUGCAUUAAUCUGACUGGAAUGUUACCAGUUAGGCUGCGAGCAUAUACACGGGAACAAGCUUCCGUUGGAACGAGUUCUUAACGAGGUUGUGUGAUGUCCCCUGAUGAGUUCUGUUCUGCCCGUGGUGAACACAGUUUAUUGAAAAAUAGACAGAACAUCACUAACUUCAUAAAGUAAACAUAUUUGGCAUCUUUGGUAUUCAUAUUGUGGAUAAAGAACAGCCAAGCACUCCCUAUGGGCCAGCACCAAUUUCACCUGACAGAACUCUUGUAGGGCUGCCCUUAUUUUUACUUGUAAGAUCUGUUGCAGCCUUCAUCAGAAGAAGAAGAUUUAUGGAAAAUGGUCUCUGGAUGAAAACAGACACGACACUGGUGCAAUAUUCUACAAUAUUUAUUAUUUGUUCCACAAACAGUUUAUUGGCUGUUACACCAUCAUCUGGUACAAAGUUAAGUGUAUGGUGCAGAGAUAUUCUGUUGGGUCAAAGAUUUUAAACCAGUGCAUCUACACUGUAUCUUCAUUUCCAGAUAUGAAAAUGUUUAGUAAUAUAA